GAGCCCCCAGCCCCCCACUUCCUCUUUUCUCUCAGGUUCCUGUUGAUCCAUCGGGAACAGAGGAGCAGCCAGAGCUCAGUGCAGCCCCCAGGAUCCGGGGGGGAGGGCCUGUCCCCCAAGCGCCGCGCCCGCGCCCUGCGCCACUUCUACGCCCUGGUCGCCACCCGCUACUUCCCCUGGGAGGGCAGCCCAGGUGAGUGGGGAGAGGAGUGGGGGGUGGGGGGAGCCCAGGGAAGAGGGGUCUCACACCCGCCUGGGGCCUCCCCCCACCCUAAUCCCUCCAUGUCUGGCAGCCCCCGCACAGGAGCCAUUCCAGGCCGGCUUCCCGCACCGCGCCCGGCACUGCUACGUGGUGAGCGCCACGCACAAGGCCUACGCCAUCCACGCCCCCCAGCACCAGCUCUUCCUGCUCCUGGCGCCCCACGUGCCCACCUUCGCCCUGCGGCCCCUGGCCACCCGCACCCUGCAGCGUCUCACCGGGGACGCCGCCUGCUGAGACGCCGGCCCGGACACCUGGGUUCCGCCUUGGGGGACGAAAGGGAAUUUCUUCAGGCUAUUCUGUAAGAUUAUCAUGUGCGCAAAAGAACGGCCAGACUGGGUCCGACCAAUGGCCCAUCCAGCCCUGUGUCCUGCCGGAGGUGAUCGUCAAACGAUCCACCCGUCGCCCAUCCCCACCUCCUGGCAAACAGAGGCAGGGACCCUAUCCCUGCCCAGCCUGGCUAAUAGCCAUCGAUGGACCUGUCCUCCAGGAACUUAUCUAGGUCUUUUCUGAACCCUGUUCUAGUCUUGGCCUUCAUAGCAUCCUGUGGCAAGGAGUUCCACGGGUUGGGGGAAAGAAAUACUUCCUUUGGUUUGUUUUCAACCUGCUGCUUAGUUAUUUCAUUGGGUGAGCCCUGGUUCUUGGGUUAUGAGUAAAUAACAUUUGCUGAUUCACUUGCUCCACACGGCUCUCAUUUCCCCCCUUAGGCAGGUGCGUGCCUCAGUUUCCCCUAUGUACCUGAGUAACCAAGGGGAGGGGAAAAUGUAUUUUCUUUACAGAAGAAUCCAGAUACCCAGGCGGGGUCUGGGCCCCAGUGAUGUGUCCUAGCAGAUGAUGACCCUGGCCCACUGCAGGAAGCCAGCUGGGCAGGAGGGG
rnacentral:lncRNA from 1 species